UCUCCGUUGGUGAACCAGCGGAGGGAUCAUUACCGAGUUGCAACUCCCAAACCCAAUGUGAACCAUACCAAACUGUUGCCUCGGCGGGGUCACGCCCCGGGUGCGUCGCAGCCCCGGAACCAGGCGCCCGCCGGAGGGACCAACCAAACUCUUUCUGUAGUCCCCUCGCGGACGUUAUUUUUACAGCUCUGAGCAAAAAUUCAAAAUGAAUCAAAACUUUCAACAACGGAUCUCUUGGUUCUG
rnacentral:misc_RNA from 1 species